AAACUUCACUUGAAGCACACUGACAUUUAGCAGGAUGAGGGGAUUUUAUAUAGAACGCAGCGAGACAUUGAUGUCUUUACACUCUGGUCAUGUUGGUAUUAGUGCAGCUCACGCAGUUGGAGUUUUUCUCCAUUCCUCUGGUACAAAACCUAGUGAGCUGUUGUUUUAUCACUGAAUAUUGUUCCUCUUUAACAGUGUGUUUAACAAAGGAUAGAGGGCAAAAUGAACACAGAGAGCUCAAAGAAGAGGCUGCUGGUGCUGAUGGAAGGAACAAAACAUGUCCAGCAGAUCAAUGUGUGGAUUUUGUCCCAUUCGAGUCCCAAAAUGACCUUUCUGAAACUGCUUUGGCUCCACUGUCACUUAGUGAGGCUUUAGUGAUCAGACGGCCCGAUUUCAUCCAGCGCUCACAGGCCAGGGUUCGAGCGCUCGAGAGGAGGUCGCAGGAGAGGCAGAACUCCCACAGCUCACCGCAGACAGUCGAGAGCGGAGGAAGCCUUGUGAAAUCCAAAGACAGAAGCAUCAUGGGAAAGAGUCUACAGCUGCGGUCCAGGAGGAGUUAUAACCAGCUACCUGAGGUGAAGAAGAGGAGAGAGGAAGAAAAGAGGAGAAUAGAAGAGGAGAAAAGAAAACUGGCAUCUCGGACCAACAGGCUGCGGGCAGAGCUCUUUAAAAAGGUAGACGUAUUGUUUGCAGAUGUGUAGGACUGAUCUGAGAGCAGUUUAGAGGAGUUAGGAGUGAAGACUGAUCUCGGAUCAGUAAUCAUUACAGCACAGGCGUUUUGAGUCGCUGUUACCUGGUUCAACGAAUUAGAUUCAUUCUCAGCAUUAAUCCUGAAAGUGAAGCUUUUCCAAUCCGCCGUCGCAAGGUGUGCGUUUAUCUUAAGAAAUUUCCCCUAAUUCAAUCGGACCGGAGGAGGACGCCUUCUCUAAGCCCGUUCCGCCCCUUAAGCAGUGGGAAUUGAUUUUGGCUGAUGCAUUUUGUUCCUAAACAGCUCUUACUCGCUCUAAAUAUAGACUAGGCCCUGACGCAGAGAGGGAUAUUCAACACAUUUCCAGUCAGAAAACACAUUUCUAUGCCUGUCUUCACAUUCACUCACAUCACACACACUCUGCUCAGAAUGAUGCUUUUGAUUGGCAGCUUUAGACCAGCAUUUGUUUAUGUUAUUAUUUGCCGUGUCAAGCAUCACUAUUAUUGCUGUUCAUACUUAGUGAGAUCAAUAAAUCCUUACACAAUGUCCA
ensembl:lncRNA